UUAUCUCUCACCUAGCACAAAAUCACCCCCAGAUGGACCAAGCUCUGCACUGUAGAACCUGAAGUUACCAGAGAACGUAUCGAAUAUUCUACAAGAUGCAGACAGAGAAACCAGAGAGCCCUGUCCUGAGUGAACGAAUUGAAAGCUGGGUCUGGAAAGGGGCAUAUGCCAUAGCACAGUGGUUAGCUACUGUCAUUCAGAGGCGCUCCAGUUUGGUGUCUGUUUCCCUUCAUCUGUCACACAUUUGUCUCCACAUCUCAGAGCAGACACGGACCCGUUCGACAUUCUGUGCCUUCGCAGCUAAGACUCACAGGUGAGAAACCUUGGUCUCCUGGUUACAGAAUCACAACACACAUCAAUGUCUGCCUGGCUCCACAAUGAAGAUCCUCCCCUGCCUUUCUGAAGUGGUGCGUGCUGUGUGGACUUACAUAAGUGAAAUACCGGCUCGAAGAAGCAAGAACAAAUUCAACAACA